CAGAUACUGACCCUCAACUCUGGCCUCUACAGAUAUUUUUACAUUUCCCGCAGCCAGAAAUGACAGAAAAUAUUUAGAUAUAUAUCUGUAAUUGUGCUCACAAGUAUCAGAGAACAAGAUCUCAACCGAACGGUGAGACCUAAGUGAGACAGGGAGAUGGCUGGUACACAGUAGAGAGUGAAGAUGCUGGUUGAGAUCUGCACUGUUGCUAUCUGCUGGGUCAUAACAGCAAGCUGUAGUCAGUGCAUAGAGCCUCGUGAGACAGGUAGAAACUUCUCCAUCACAGUGACCCAAGACGUUACAGUAGAGGCUGGACGGUGCAUUCCUAUAUCAUGUAAAUUCACAUACCCAGGCAACAUUACUAAAUACGUACGAAGAGUCUGGUUCAAAGGAGAUCCACUUACACCUGUAUUUGAAAAAGAUGCAGAGGUGUGUGGUGUUGAUUGGCAGAUCCUGAAAGGUCCUGAAAGGUCUUGCAGCUUUUUCCUCGAAGACCUGCAAGAAGGAGAAAGCGAGUAUAGAUUCAAGUUAACAUGGGGAGAUGAUCAAAUGUAUGUUUUUCCUGAGAGGGUACGAGUCUCAGUGUCUGGUACGUAAGAAACCAUGUCAACAAAUAUACUACUUUCAUUCUCUUA